rnacentral:rRNA from 1 species
GACGAACGCUGGCGGCGUGCCUAAUACAUGCAAGUCGAGCGAAUCACUAGGAGCUUGCUCCUGGUGGUUAGCGGCGGACGGGUGAGUAACACGUGGGCAACCUGCCUGUAAGACUGGGAUAACACCGGGAAACCGGUGCUAAUACCGGAUAAUCCUUUUCCUCUCAUGAGGAAAAGCUGAAAGUCGGUUUCGGCUGACACUUACAGAUGGGCCCGCGGCGCAUUAGCUAGUUGGUGAGGUAACGGCUCACCAAGGCGACGAUGCGUAGCCGACCUGAGAGGGUGAUCGGCCACACUGGGACUGAGACACGGCCCAGACUCCUACGGGAGGCAGCAGUAGGGAAUCUUCCACAAUGGACGAAAGUCUGAUGGAGCAACGCCGCGUGAGCGAUGAAGGCCUUCGGGUCGUAAAGCUCUGUUGUUAGGGAAGAACAAGUAUCGGAGUAACUGCCGGUACCUUGACGGUACCUAACCAGAAAGCCACGGCUAACUACGUGCCAGCCGCCGCGGUAA